UCUAGGCCUAAGGUAAAUAGAUUGAUUGAAAUUUGAUACCUUUAGAUUGAAACUUGAUCACUUUAUAUCAAUUAUCCUUACCCAUGAAUCCAUCCUUAGUAUUUGAAAGUUCUUGCACUUAUUUCUUGAUUGGAUUUGAGAUCACCUUGUUUAUAUUUAUAGGAUAUUAGCUUGUUACAAAUCAUCCAUCUUCUUGUUUGCUUAGAUUAAGAAAGCUUGUGUAUUCUUGGUGUUAUAGGUCACUAGUUCCUUGUGGAUUCGAUCCUAAAAUGCUACAAUGACAUACCAUUCGAUUGUGGUAUUGUUGGCACAUUAGGUUAAUUGGUGUGUGCUUAAACGCGUAAUCAAUUUGGCGCCGUUGCCGGGGAACUAGUAGAUUUAUCAUUAGGAUUUCAAUCUUUCUUGAGACUUAGCUUUAUUUUCUUGCUUUGUUUUUCUUUUGUAUAGUUACUAACCUUUACUUCUAGCUUUUGUUCUUGAGUGAUGGCUUCAAGCUGUUUUGAGAAGCCACAAGAAGAGGAAGAUCACAUCGAAGAUGAGCCAUAUGUGUAUGUGGAGCCACCACCCUUUGAUGCAAGUAUACUCACACCAGCACAGCUUGUGACGUUAAAUGAGCUUCAGAAGAAGUACCCGGGGUCAGCAAAGACAUCCCUAGCACGAAGGAUCCGGGUGGAGCUUAUUAGGGAUCAAGCAGAGCUUGAAGGAAGGGAGGUUACACAGUAUGAGUUCAAUGUUGCUUAUGACCUUAAAGAGGUAAUGUAUUGGGUUCCACCACCCCAGCUGGAAGGUACAAGAAUUUCCACUCUAGAACUUCAACUUGAGGAACUUUGCUUGCCUUGUGGUGAGAAUAUUGCCCAUGAUCUUGAUUCUCUUGUGCUCAUAAAUGAAUGUCUUGAUCUAAUAUGUGAAACUAGGAAGCUAGAUGAGUUGAGAAUAGAAAAGCUUGCUAGAGAUCAUAUUGAAGUUUGUUUUGACAAGAACUAUCUUUGUGCUUCAAUUGAUCUUGAGUAUGAGUUUUUGAUGCUUAAUGAACCUAGACCUCUUCUUGAACUUGCUGAUUUAGGGGAUGAACUUGAUGUGGAUAUGCUCUUGCUUAGGAUAGAAAACCCCCUUGUCAAAAAUUAUCAUGAGAAUGUGAGCAUUGUGUAUUACUUGAUUGAUGGAGAUAGAGUUGACUACUUUGUUAAAACCUUGUUUGAGCCUGUAGUUGACUGUGUGUUUCCACCAUAUGCAUUUGAUUCUCAUGACCAUCUGAACCUCAAGGAGCAUUUCAUAAUUCAUGUCACAUCUUUAGUGAAGCUCUUUGAGGAAAAAUCUGUCUAUUUUCUAUGGAUAGUAGUGUGCUCCUUUGCAUACUUGGUUCCUUGUUCUUGUAGGAGAAGGACCAAAGGUGCAUUGGCUCAACCUUUUGAUACCUAUGAUUAACAAGCACACAAAGUCAAGCUAGAGACUUAAAACAAGCUCACUUGGGAAGAAAUCUCAUGUUUAUCCAUUGUAUAUAUAUAUAUUUUUUUUUAUCUUUUCUUUUUAGGUUAUUUAAUAAGCAUGGUUGAGGUUUUUUAGGUCAAGUCUUACUUACCAUGGCUGAUGUGAAGCAUUGUGACUCUAGACACUUGCCUUCUCCGCUUCAGCCCAUGUCUACAAGUGAAAUAAAUCUGAGGCCAAGGGUCCUCUACCACCCAAUUCAACCAAUAACUUCAAGUAAGUGUCACUCCAACCUUGUACAUAUUUAGUUUUCAUGUUUAUUUCUUUCCUUUGGAUUUCUUUUUUGAGCUUACUCUCACACAAGGGACUGUGUGAAGUAAGUUUGGGGGAGAGUCUACUAUCUCACAUCAUUUUCUGUUUUGUUUACUUGCCAUGAGUCUCAUGCAUUGCAUUGUGAAUACUUAUUUGCAUAGAAAAUCCAUAAAAAAUUGAUUUUUUUUUUGAAAAUCUUCAUGCAGUUUCACUUGAUCCAUUUUCAUCUUUAGGAUUGAGUCUAGAAGCAUUUAGAUUGCAUUCAUGCAUUGGGAGAAACCUUGUAAAGAACACAUGUCUAGAACUCAAUUUGACAUCCUAGCUAAACAUAUCAAGUAGCUUAAGCAUUUCUUAAAAAGCUUGUAAGCUUCGAGCCUUGAAAACUCUUCUUGAAACAUGUUGUUUGCUUGAUGAUUGACAUUGUUCUUGAAACCAACUCCAAUCUGAACUUGGCUUAAAUGAACUUAAUCUCUCUUGCAUAUGGGCAUUUGCAUACUUGAUCAUGGAUCUCAUACACAUUUGGGUUAUCUUUUUCCCUUUGUACCCAUCUUUGUUAACCCAAAUGGCACUUCAUACCCAUUAACCCUCACCAUUCUUUGAAACCAACAUUAAUUUGCUUGAGUGAGGCCUUUUAUUGAUAGCAUGUCAUGUGCAAAAUUUUGAGAGUAUUAGGAGCGACAAUGAGUUGUUCUCAUCUUUGGCUAGCAUUAGGACCUCAUUUAGGCUAGCCUCUAGGAUGGUUGUUGGGUUUGUGAGCUUAAAUUCUUUUGAUCUUGGGAUAGGGAUGUGAGUGAAAGUGAAAAGAAAUGAACCAAAAAGAUGAGAAAAUAAAAAAAAAAAACCACUAGGGAUUAAAAAAAAAAAAGCUCUUGUGUUUAUAAAUAGAAUCCCCUUUAGAAUAAAAGAAAAAAAAACAAAAAAAAAAGAAAAAAAAAAGCUGAGUGAAUAAAAAAAAAAAAAAAAAAACUCUCUGGCUAGAAUAAGAAAUGAUAAUGUGUUCAUUGGGUGAGAGAUGAAAGUGAGUCUAUCUUUGGGUUUUGGGAUGAUGAAAAGAAGAAGGGUAGAGCUUGAAAUCAUUUAGGAAAGGGGUAGAAUGAUGAGAACAAGUCAUUGUAUGCAUGAAUUGCUCCUUUUCUUAGAUAAAUUUUGCAUAAUGUUCUUGCUCCUAUUCUUGAGUGUGAGUCACCAUAAAAGAUGCAUUUGAAAACCCUUGCUUCACAUUAGACCAUUUUCACUCACAAAGCCAAAUGAUUGAGAUCAUGUGCCCAUUUGCAAGAACUCACUUUGUAUGCUUGUUUAAUUGAAUGUGAGAGUUGGUUGAAACACUUGUUGAUUGAUGAGCAUUGCAACUUGUGUAGAGGCAUAAAAGUGUUGAUAGGCCUUGAGAAGCUAGAGUGUAUUAAGAAAGUUGUUCAUGCUAUUUACUACGUUUCUCUUAGGAUGUUAAGUUGAAGGCUAGAAAGUGUUUUGGUUAUAAACUUCCAUUUUCAAACAUCUCUAUUUUCCAUUUUUAAAGUUUACUUGUGGACAAGUAAAAUUCUAGUUUGGGGGAGUUGAUAACUCAUGAUCUUAAUAGUAUUUAGCAUCUUAUUUAGUUCAUUUUAAUCAUUCUAUAUUGCAUUUAGGUCUUAAUAUUGCAUUUACAUGCAUAAUUGCAUAAAUAGGGGCUAAAGUGCACACUUGAGAAGUUUGGGGCGAAAUCACAAGGUUGUUCUUGCAAGUUAUGGAGUUUGUGGCCAAUUUGAAAGAAAUCCGAAACCAAGGGACCAUCUUGCAAUUAUACGAGGGCUAAAUCGUACAGAUGAAAGAUUGGGGUUGAAUUUAGAGGGUGUGUCUGCAAAUUCUAAAGAUAGGGGCCAUUUUGUAAAGAACCAGAAGUUCAGGGACCUGUCUUGCAAAUACUUAUAACUUCACCAUUGGAGAGGAUCGAAGCUUUUUCUUAGAUGGUUUCAACGCGAACGACGGCGAGGCUUGACGCGACGACGGCGAGGCUUGACGCGACGACGACGAGACUCACUGGAGCAAAUUGACGAGUCUGGUUCCGGAGCUUCGCGGUGGCGCUUCUAGUCGGAGAAGAACAGUCUCGAGUGAAGGCCACGGUGAGGAGCUUAGUCGUGGCUGAUGAUUAUGGUGGAGGUCACGGCUUGAGAAGAAGAAGUGGAGCUCGAUUCCAAGAAUCAAAGCGGGUUUGAUGCAGCAGUCGAAGGUCACUGCUGGGAAUUGAUACGGACAUUGACGCGGCUUGUGGUAACGGGUAAGAGACACCGCUCGUCAACAUGUCGAGCUUGAUGGCAGCGGCUUAGUGAAACGGGAUGAUGAACCCGCUGGGAAAGGCCCAUGUCCCUGUCCAAUAUCGACUUGGUGGAGCGGGAUGCGAUGGCCGCUGUGGAUGCGAUUUUGAGAUGUUGACCGGUUUAUUCCGGUUUGACCCGGUUUAAUUCAAUUAAACCAGUUCGAGUUUUGCCUCUCUAUAAAUAGAUUUAGACCUAAAAACCUAAUUUUGAUCUCAUUUUUCUCUUAAGACUUUGUCUAAACUUGUAAAAGCUUGAAUCUUUCUAUAAUCUAAGGAAGUACUUUAUCUUAUAAUUGUGUUUCUCUUGCUCAUUAACAUGAUUAGCCUUGAUCCUUACAUGGGUUUAAGGUUUCUCAUGAAGAUUAUUGAGUAGACAUAUUUUGGAUUCAUGGGUUAAGGUAGAUUAGGGUGAUUAAGCUAGAUCUAAGGUGUUUUAGUAUAGAUCCAUCUUGUUCCUUGCUAGUAGAGUGCUUUUAAUGCAACUCUAGAGUUGGCCUCUCUAAAGUUGAGCUCUAGGCAUUUCAUACCCGGAAGGUGUUUGAUGAAAUGCCUGAACCAACUCUCCUAAGCUUUUAACAUUCUUUACCAAAGGAAUUUGUUGUUAAAGGUGUUAAGAUGGCUAAUAGACUUGAGAUUAAUGAUUACUUAGAUAACAUUCAACCAAAGGAAUUUGAUGCUUGAGUUAUCUAGGUAAAUGAGCAUUCAUCUAGGGAUAGAGUUUGUUUAUUAUUGUGUCUAGGCCUAAGGUAAAUAGAUUGAUUGAAAUUUGAUACCUUUAGAUUGAAACUUGAUCACUUUAUAUCAAUUAUCCUUACCCAUGAAUCCAUCCUUAGUAUUUGAAAGUUCUUGCACUUAUUUUUUGAUUGGAUUUGAGAUCACCUUGUUUAUAUUUAUAGGAUAUUAGCUUGUUACAAAUCAUCCAUCUUCUUGUUUGCUUAGAUUAGGAAAGCUUGUGUAUUCUUGGUGUUAUAGGUCACUAGUUCCUUGUGG
rnacentral:lncRNA from 1 species